UACAGAGGGGGCAAGCGUUGUUCGGAAUUACUGGGCGUAAAGGGCGCGUAGGCGGCCUCUUAAGUCGAACGUGAAAUCCCCGGGCUCAACCCGGGAACUGCGUCCGAUACUGGGCGGCUUGAAUCCGGGAGAGGGAUGUGGAAUUCCAGGUGUAGCGGUGAAAUGCGUAGAUAUCUGGAGGAACACCGGUGGCGAAGGCGGCAUCCUGGACCGGUAUUGACGCUGAGGCGCGAAAGCCAGGGGAGCAAACGGG
rnacentral:rRNA from 1 species